CUACUUAUUUUAUUUACCUACCUACCUACCUGUUAAUUAUUUACUUUUUAUUAUUUGUGUUGUGUGUGUGUGCGUGCAUGUACACUUCUAUACCAGCAGAUGGCGGUAGAUCCUCUGUUUCUCUAUCUAUGUAUCUACUUAUUCACCCAUUUAUCUGUGCAUCCUUUACUUGUUUCAUUAACAAAUUAUUUAUUUAUUUAUUUAUUUAUUUAUUUAUUUAUUUGUGAGUCCGCAUGUACACUUCUAUAUUAUAAAAGUCAACAUCGAGGUCGACAAAGCGAACCCUGGAAACAUCUUUCUGAGAAGAACACGCUGGCCUCCAAGUCACUCCUGCUGUGCACACACAGAAAUCACUGAGAUCCACCUGCCUGUCUGUCUGUGACAUGCAAAAGAAGAAGAAGAAGAAACUUCAUCACCCCAACAUAAAAAGGAAGACUCCUGCUUCACUCAGGCGAUACAGGUCCUGAGCGGCUGUGUGGAGACUGCCAUGAUCUGAGGAUCCAUUCUCCCAGGAGCAUUUCAUUGAGAAAAUAUAGUUGCACCUAGGAUUAAACGGGAGACGAGGGGAAUACGAACUCUGGGUGGGUGGGUCUUAUGACAGGCACCAGCCAUCGAUAGGCUGUUGUUUGUUUUGAUUUUUGAAAAAAAAAUUUUUUUGAGACUCGAUUUUGACCAAGAUGGCCCCUCUGGCUCACUGAUAAAGUGAGCUGAGCACUGGGAUUAAAGGCGUGCACCAACACUUCCAGGCCAGACCAGUCAUAUGUUAAUGUGAAGGCCAUUGAGUUCCUUCCAAGAGAAUGAGUGGAGGAGGCCCUCCCUUACACAAAAUGCCUGACCUGUCUGGGGGAAGCAGGUGCUUAAUGACACUGCCAUCUCUGCCCUACUAGCUCCCCUACUAGUAUUCCUGUUCUUGGUGUUCCUUCCUUAGGAGGGCACAGUGGAAUUCCUGUUCCCCUGGUUUCGGGGAUUUUAUUUUUCCCAUAAAGAAUCAUUUUGUUUAGAGAGCCCUCAUUGGCUGUAAACAAGUGAAUAAAUGGAUGGACCGAUAAAUGAAUGAAUGGAUGAAUAAAUAAAUAAAUAAAUAAAUAAAUAAAUGAAACUUUC